rnacentral:rRNA from 1 species
AGUGAACGCUGGCGGUAGGCCUAACACAUGCAAGUCGAACGGCAGCACAGUAAGCUCUUGCUCUUACGGUUGGCGAGUGGCGGACGGGUGAGGCAUACAUCGGAUUCUACUUUUUCGUGGGGGAUAACGUAGGGCAACUUAUGCUAAUACCUCAUACCACUUACCGGUGAAAGCAGGUGAUCUUCGUACCUUUCCCGAAUGAAUGAGCCGUUGUGGGAUUUGUUAGUUGGCGGGUUAAAGACCCACAAAGGCAACGAACCGUAGCUGGUCUGAGAGGAUGAUCAGCCACAUUGGAAUUGAGCAACGGUCAAGACUCCUACGGGAGGAACAGUAGGGGAAUAUCGGACAAGGGGGGAAGUCUGAACCCACAACUCCCGCGGGGGUGAGGAAGUCCUUGGGGUUGUAAAGUCCUUUUGUUGGGAAAGAAAAGCAGCAGGUUGAAACGCCGAUGUUGUGACGGUAACCAAAGAAUAAGCAACGGCUAACUUCGUG